AAGGCCUCAAUUUCCUGUCCUCUGCUUACUGCCCCUUUUUUUGCCUGCGAAUGGCGGCGAUUUGAAGUUGGGGCUUUUCGUUUCCUCCAAAACAUUGAUAUCUGGAAAGGGAGCCCCUUAACACUUUUGGAGGGAACUGGCUGCAGCAUUUGGCGGGGAGAGAUAAACUGGUUUCCCACCUCUGCUUACUCCCACCUUCUCCCCUUAAUCUUCUCUUCCUCUGUGCGAGACUUUUUUCCUUUUUUAUUGUAGACACAGGGUCUUUGUUCUGCUGCCCAGGUUGGAGUGCAGUGGCGUGAUCAUAGCUCACUGCAGCCUCAACCCCCCGGGCCCAAGCGAUCCUUCCACCUCAGCCUCCCGAGUAGCUGGGCCUAGAGGUGCACACCACCAUGCCUGGCUAAUUUUUAAUUUUUUUUGUAGAGAUGGAGCCUUUCUAUGUUGCCAAGCCUAGCCUCGAACUCCUGGCCUCCCAAAAUGUGGGGAAUACAGGCGUGAGCCACUGCACCCCGGGUCAUUCCUCUUUUACUUCCUUGCUGUACCCCAACUAUCCUUCCCCCUCGGUGCCCUUAAAACCUUUGCAUUGGGACUUAACGGUAAUAGAAUGGCAUUCCUCACUGCCUCCGAACCACUCAAGCUGCUGCCCAUGCACUCUCUUCUGCAUGGCUCCUGGACUAAGCAGCCUCCCUU
rnacentral:lncRNA from 1 species